rnacentral:rRNA from 1 species
UGGUUGAUUCUGCCAGUAGUCAUAUGCUUGUUUCAAGGACUAAGCCAUGCAUGCCUCAGAAUAACUGCAUCCUGCAGGAGUCUGCGCAUGGCUCAUUACAUCAGACGCAAUCUGCCGCAAAAAUGUAGCGGAAACGCUUAUUGGAUACCUUGUGCGAAACGCCAAGCUAAUACAUGAACAAGGGGCUUGACCCACCAACGGUGAGGCCUUCGGGCGGAUCCAGUGGUCGGCUCUGCAGAUGAAUGAAAUUAAAACUCAACGCCCGCAAGGGCAGUGUCACCUAGGAGUGCUGAAUCAAUUCAUCUUAGCGAAAGCUGGCUUGCCAGCGCUUUUUGACGAACAACUGCCCUAUCAGCCAGUGAUGGCCGUGUAGUGGACUGCCAUGGCGUUGACGGGAGCGGGGGAUUAGGGUUCGAUUCCGGAGAGGGAGCCUGAGAAAUGGCUACCACUUCUACGGAGGGCAGCAGGCGCGCAACUUGCCCAAUGCCAAAACAAAUGAUGAGGCAGCGAAAAGAAAUAGGUGCCCCAAACGCCUUGUGUGUUUGGGGCUUUCAAUGGGGGAUAUUUAAACCCAUCCAAUAUCGAGUAACAAUUGGAGGACAAGUCUGGUGCCAGCACCCGCGGUAAUUCCAGCUCCAAGAGCGUAUAUUAACGCUGUUGCUGUUAAAGGGUUCGUAGUUGAAUUGUGGAUCUGGAAGCCGAGGCUCCGUCCUUUGCCCACGUGCAUAGGAACACCUCGAUCCUUUUCCGAGAACGUCAGAAACUAAUAUCACGGGAGCGUUCCCAGCACCUUCGCGAGCAAUGCACGCAGCUGGGCGUCCGUGUUCAUUACUGUGACUAAAGAAGUGCGACCAAAGCAGUCCAUCGACAUGAAUUAGAAAGCAUGGGAUAACAAAGGAGCGUCCUACAGGCUACCGUUUAGGCUUUUGUUGGUUUUAAAGGUCAGUGGGAGAUUACGGGUCGGCAGGACCGGCGACUGGAGGUUCUUCCUCCUUCGCUUCCUCCUCGCAGUGGCUUGCCGCUGCGUGCGAGGCCUGCCGUGCUCAGGAAUGAAGGAGGGUUGCUCGGGGGAGAACGUACUUGAGCGUGAGAGGUGAAAUUCUUAGACCGCUCAAAGACGAACUACAGCGAAGGCAUUCUCCAAGGAUACCUUCCUCAAUCAAGAACCAAAGUGUGGAGAUCGAAGAUGAUUAGAGACCAUUGUAGUCCACACCACAAACGGUGACCCCCAUGAAUUGGGGAGUUUUCGCGGAGGUGGCGUCCGGCUCGUCCGGAUUGCCAUCCCGCGAUAAAGUAUUCAACUUACGUGCACGUUCCAUCCAGCCAGGAGGUAAAACUCCCGGCCUUGACGGGAACAUCCUCAGCACGUUCUCUUACUGUUUCACGCGAAAGCUUUGAGG